UACGUAGGGUGCAAGCGUUAAUCGGAAUUACUGGGCGUAAAGCGUGCGCAGGCGGUUUGUUAAGCGAGAUGUGAAAGCCCUGGGCUCAACCUAGGAAUAGCAUUUCGAACUGGCGAACUAGAGUCUUGUAGAGGGGGGUAGAAUUCCAGGUGUAGCGGUGAAAUGCGUAGAGAUCUGGAGGAAUACCGGUGGCGAAGGCGGCCCCCUGGACAAAGACUGACGCUCAUGCACGAAAGCGUGGGGAGCAAACAGG
rnacentral:rRNA from 1 species